AUUGAACGCUGGCGGCAUGCUUUACACAUGCAAGUCGAACGGUAACAGGCCUUCGGGUGCUGACGAGUGGCGAACGGGUGAGUAAUGCAUCGGAACGUACCCAGAGGUGGGGGAUAACGCAGCGAAAGCUGUGCUAAUACCGCAUGUGAUCUGAGGAUGAAAGCGGGGGACCGAGCAGCAAUGUUUGGCCUCGCGCCUUUGGAGCGGCCGAUGUCGGAUUAGCUAGUUGGUGGGGUAAAGGCCUACCAAGGCGACGAUCCGUAGCUGGUCUGAGAGGACGACCAGCCACACUGGGACUGAGACACGGCACAGACUCCUACGGGAGGCAGCAGUGGGGAAUUUUGGACAAUGGGCGCAAGCCUGAUCCAGCAAUGCCGCGUGCGGGAAGAAGGCCUUCGGGUUGUAAACCGCUUUUGGCAGGAACGAAACAGUGUCCGCUAAUACCGGGCGCUAAUGACGGUACCUGCAGAAUAAGCACCGGCUAACUACGUG
rnacentral:rRNA from 1 species